rnacentral:rRNA from 1 species
AUCUGAGACCCAUACCACCCUGAACGUGCCAUAUCUCGUCUGAUCUCGGAAGCUAAGCAGGAUUGGGCCUGGUUAGUACUUGGAUGGGAGAGUGUCGAGCUGCGUUGUGAAGUUCUUGGUUCUUUGGGUC